GAAGAAGUUUACAAGGUUCUUAUGCGCCGUAACUCUGUCUAUGUUACCUUCGUCAUCGCUGGCGCUUUCCUCGCAGAACGGGGUGUUGAUUACGGAGUUCACAAGCUAUGGGAAUACAAUAACGUUGGG